UACGUAGGGGGCUAGCGUUAUCCGGAAUUACUGGGCGUAAAGGGUGCGUAGGUGGUUUCUUAAGUCUGAUGUGAAAGCCCACGGCUCAACCGUGGAAGGUCAUUGGAAACUGGGGAACUUGAGUGCAGAAGAGGAGAGUGGAAUUCCAUGUGUAGCGGUGAAAUGCGUAGAUAUCAGGAGGAACACCCGUGGCGAAGGCUGCUACCUGGAACGUUACUGACGCUGAGGCGCGAAAGCUGGGGUAGCGAACCGGAUUAGAUACCCCGGUAGUCCCUGAGCGGG
rnacentral:rRNA from 1 species